UUUUUUACGUUUCCUCUUUGUAUUAUCGCAUCGUUAGUAAUUUCUCUUCGUGCAGGUUUUGUCUUCUGUGGACGUAUGGUGAUAUAGAGGCACAAGAGCAUGCUGGUACCAGAACUGCUGCCGUUAAUCAAAGUCGGAAGGUGCUUUGGUAGAUUUCAAUAAGCAGGGGGGUAGUACCUUCUGCUGAAGAACCCAUUAUAAACUGGCUGAUAUAUGCAGCGAGAAGACUGUUUAUGUUUUUCUUUAAGUUUCGUUGCAUCUAGUCAUUGCUAUUUUUGUUUUAAAGAUUAGGAUUUAUUUCUUUAUGUUAUUGUUUUCAUGUUUCAUCAAAUAAAGUCAACAUUCUACUCAAAAAAAAAAA